GCUCUUUCAGGAUUGCACCUGGAGAGUUUCCAGUACUCUAUCAGCUUUGACUACAGGAGGUAAAGUCCAGCAGAGGCAUACUCAUUCCAUUCCUAGCUUGGGCAAUGGCUAGUGAGGAGAAGACAAUCUGCUAUAAGU